rnacentral:rRNA from 1 species
AGUGAACGCUGGCGGUAGGCCUAACACAUGCAAGUCGAACGGCAGCACAGUAAGAGCUUGCUCUUAAGGGUGGCGAGUGGCGGACGGGUGAGGAAUACAUCGGAAUCUACUUUUUCGUGGGGGAUAACGUAGGGAAACUUACGCUAAUACCGCAUACGACCUACGGGUGAAAGCAGGGGAUCUUCGGACCUUGCGCGAUUGAAUGAGCCGAUGUCGGAUUAGCUAGUUGGCGGGGUAAAGGCCCACCAAGGCGACGAUCCGUAGCUGGUCUGAGAGGAUGAUCAGCCACACUGGAACUGAGACACGGUCCAGACUCCUACGGGAGGCGGCAGUGGGGAAUAUUGGACAAUGGGCGCAAGCCUGAUCCAGCCAUACCGCGUGGGUGAAGAAGGCCUUCGGGUUGUAAAGCCCUUUUGUUGGGAAAGAAAAGCAGCAGGUUAAUACCCCGCUGUUCUGACGGUACCCAAAGAAUAAGCACCGGCUAACUUCGUG